AGUGAACGCUGGCGGUAGGCCUAACACAUGCAAGUCGAACGGCAGCACAGUAGGAGCUUGCUCUUACGGGUGGCGAGUGGCGGACGGGUGAGGAAUACAUCGGAAUCUACUUUUUCGUGGGGGAUAACGUAGGGAAACUUACGCUAAUACCGCAUACGACCUACGGGUGAAAGCAGGGGAUCUUCGGACCUUGCGCGAUUGAAUGAGCCGAUGUCGGAUUAGCUAGUUGGCGGGGUAAAGGCCCACCAAGGCGACGAUCCGUAGCUGGUCUGAGAGGAUGAUCAGCCACACUGGAACUGAGACACGGUCCAGACUCCUACGGGAGGCAGCAGUGGGGAAUAUUGGACAAUGGGCGCAAGCCUGAUCCAGCCAUACCGCGUGGGUGAAGAAGGGCUUCGGGUUGUAAAGCCCUUUUGUUGGGAAAGAAAAGCAGCAGGUUAAUACCCCGCUGUUCUGACGGUACCCAAAGAAUAAGCACCGGCUAACUUCGUG
rnacentral:rRNA from 1 species